rnacentral:rRNA from 1 species
AGAGUUUGAUCCUGGCUCAGGACGAACGCUGGCGGCAUGCCUAAUACAUGCAAGUCGAGCGAAUUGAUUAAGAAGCUUGCUUCUUAAGAUUUUAGCGGCGGACGGGUGAGUAGCACGUGGGCAACCUGCCCUAUAGUUGGGAUAACUCCGGAAACCGGGGCUAAUACCGAAUGAUACAAUUAAGCUCCUGCUUGAUUGUUGAAAGAUGGUUUACGCUAUCGCUAUAGGAUGGGCCCGCGGCGCAUUAGCUAGUUGGUGAGGUAACGGCUCACCAAGGCGACGAUGCGUAGCCGACCUGAGAGGGUGAUCGGCCACACUGGGACUGAGACACGGCCCAGACCCCUACGGGAGGCAGCAGUAGGGAAUCUUCCACAAUGGGCGAAAGCCUGAUGGAGCAACGCCGCGUGAGUGAAGAAGGUUUUCGGAUCGUAAAACUCUGUUGUAAGGGAAGAACAAGUACAGUAGUAACUGGCUGUACCUUGACGGUACCUUAUUAGAAAGCCACGGCUAACUACGUGCCAGCAGCCGCGGUAAUACGUAGGUGGCAAGCGUUGUCCGGAUUUAUUGGGCGUAAAGCGCGCGCAGGUGGUUUCUUAAGUCUGAUGUGAAAGCCCACGGCUCAACCGUGGAGGGUCAUUGGAAACUGGGAGACUUGAGUGCAGAAGAGGAAAGUGGAAUUCCAAGUGUAGCGGUGAAAUGCGUAGAGAUUUGGAGGAACACCAGUGGCGAAGGCGACUUUCUGGUCUGUAACUGACACUGAGGCGCGAAAGCGUGGGGAGCAAACAGGAUUAGAUACCCUGGUAGUCCACGCCGUAAACGAUGA